rnacentral:rRNA from 1 species
UAAUUCUAGAGCUAAUAUGUGUAAUAGACCCCGACUUUUGGAAGGGAUACAUUUAUUAGAUACAAGGCUAAUGCAAGCUAUGUUUGUUUUUUGGUGAAUCUUGAUAACUUGGUGUAUUGUAUGGUUGUUGUGCCGACAAUGUUUCUUUCAAAUUUCUGCCCUAUCAACUUUCGAUGGUAUGAUAUUGGCUUACCAUGGUUUUGACGGGUGACGGAGAAUUAGGGUUCGAUUCCGGAGAGGGAGCCUGAGAAAUAGCUACCACAUCCAAGGAAGGCAGCAGGCGCGUAAAUUACCCAAUCUUAACAUGUGGAGGUAGUGACAAUAAAUAACAAUAUUGGGCUCUUUGAGUCUGGUAAUUGGAAUGAGUACAAUAUAAAUUCCUUAACGAGGAUCUAUUGGAGGGCAAGUCUGGUGCCAGCAGCCGCGGUAAUUCCAGCUCCAAUAGUGUAUAUUUAAGUUGUUGCAGUUGAAAAGCUCGUAGUUCGAUUAAGGGUUUGGUUUAUUGGUCUGCCUUUUGGGGUGUGUAUCGAUAUAUUGGGUCCAUUUGUUGAUGUCAUGUAUCUGUCCUUCAUUGG